rnacentral:rRNA from 1 species
AGAGUUUGAUCAUGGCUCAGAUUGAACGCUGGCGGCAGGCCUAACACAUGCAAGUCGAACGGUAACAGGAAGCAGCUUGCUGCUUUGCUGACGAGUGGCGGACGGGUGAGUAAUGUCUGGGAAACUGCCUGAUGGAGGGGGAUAACUACUGGAAACGGUGGCUAAUACCGCAUAACGUCGCAAGACCAAAGAGGGGGACCUUCGGGCCUCUUGCCAUCAGAUGUGCCCAGAUGGGAUUAGCUUGUUGGUGAGGUAACGGCUCACCAAGGCGACGAUCCCUAGCUGGUCUGAGAGGAUGACCAGCCACACUGGAACUGAGACACGGUCCAGACUCCUACGGGAGGCAGCAGUGGGGAAUAUUGCACAAUGGGCGCAAGCCUGAUGCAGCCAUGCCGCGUGUAUGAAGAAGGCCUUCGGGUUGUAAAGUACUUUCAGCGGGGAGGAAGGUGUUGUGGUUAAUAACCACAGCAAUUGACGUUACCCGCAGAAGAAGCACCGGCUAACUCCGUGCCAGCAGCCGCGGUAAUACGGAGGGUGCAAGCGUUAAUCGGAAUUACUGGGCGUAAAGCGCACGCAGGCGGUCUGUCAAGUCGGAUGUGAAAUCCCCGGGCUCAACCUGGGAACUGCAUUCGAAACUGGCAGGCUUGAGUCUUGUAGAGGGGGGUAGAAUUCCAGGUGUAGCGGUGAAAUGCGUAGAGAUCUGGAGGAAUACCGGUGGCGAAGGCGGCCCCCUGGACAAAGACUGACGCUCAGGUGCGAAAGCGUGGGGAGCAAACAGGAUUAGAUACCCUGGUAGUCCACGCCGUAAACGAUGUCUACUUGGAGGUUGUGCCCUUGAGGCGUGGCUUCCGGAGCUAACGCGUUAAGUAGACCGCCUGGGGAGUACGGCCGCAAGGUUAAAACUCAAAUGAAUUGACGGGGGCCCGCACAAGCGGUGGAGCAUGUGGUUUAAUUCGAUGCAACGCGAAGAACCUUACCUGGUCUUGACAUCCACAGAAGUUUCCAGAGAUGGACUGUGCCUUCGGGAACCGUGAGACAGGUGCUGCAUGGCUGUCGUCAGCUCGUGUUGUGAAAUGUUGGGUUAAGUCCCGCAACGAGCGCAACCCUUAUCCUUUGUUGCCAGCGAUUAGGUCGGGAACUCAAAGGAGACUGCCAGUGAUAAACUGGAGGAAGGUGGGGAUGACGUCAAGUCAUCAUGGCCCUUACGACCAGGGCUACACACGUGCUACAAUGGCGCAUACAAAGAGAAGCGACCUCGCGAGAGCAAGCGGACCUCAUAAAGUGCGUCGUAGUCCGGAUUGGAGUCUGCAACUCGACUCCAUGAAGUCGGAAUCGCUAGUAAUCGUGGAUCAGAAUGCCACGGUGAAUACGUUCCCGGGCCUUGUACACACCGCCCGUCACACCAUGGGAGUGGGUUGCAAAAGAAGUAGGUAGCUUAACCUUCGGGAGGGCGCUUACCACUUUGUGAUUCAUGACUGGGGUGAAGUCGUAACAAGGUAACCGUAGGGGAACCUGCGGUUG